rnacentral:rRNA from 1 species
AUUGAACGCUGGCGGCAGGCUUAACACAUGCAAGUCGAGCGGAGAGAAGUAGCUUGCUACUGAUCUUAGCGGCGGACGGGUGAGUAAUGCUUAGGAAUCUGCCUAUUAGUGGGGGACAACAUUUCGAAAGGAAUGCUAAUACCGCAUACGUCCUACGGGAGAAAGCAGGGGAUCUUCGGACCUUGCGCUAAUAGAUGAGCCUAAGUCGGAUUAGCUAGUUGGUGGGGUAAAGGCCUACCAAGGCGACGAUCUGUAGCGGGUCUGAGAGGAUGAUCCGCCACACUGGGACUGAGACACGGCCCAGACUCCUACGGGAGGCAGCAGUGGGGAAUAUUGGACAGUGGGCGGAAGCCUGAUCCAGCCAUGCCGCGUGUGUGAAGAAGGCCUUAUGGUUGUAAAGCACUUUAAGCGAGGAGGAGGCUACUUUAGUUAAUACCUAGAGAUAGUGGACGUUACUCGCAGAAUAAGCACCGGCUAACUCUGUGCCAGCAGCCGCCGUAACAC